GAAAAGGCAAGCACUUGUGGUAUUUUAGAAGUUGAAGAUGACAUCCUUCCUAGCCACAACGAACCUUGUCUGAUUUUCAAAGCACUGGUAGUAGUGAAGUCAAAUCCAUCAUAGGUCUAAUUUAUGGCACAAUAUGUGGUAAAAGCCAUAAUGGUCCUAGUAUUUUAGGCACAAGUGGGUCACAAGCCUUUACUAAUUGUCAAUUUUUCUCUACCGUUACAACCACCAUAUAUUUGGCUGUCCCUAAAAUAAAACUACCUGCAAACUUUAAAAAUAAUAAUAACCAUCUAAUAUAAGCAAAAAUAUAUGUCUCAUAGUUUAGGAGUUUCCAAGAGAAAAUUGAAUUAUAUAUAUAAAAGAACAGUUUAUGUAAUUCAAUGGUCUCUCGAAACCUUUAAUAUAUUUUUAAGAAGAAACACAAGUAGAAUUUUUAAUUUUUAUUUUAUUUUUUAGCUUUCUAACAUAUUUUGAUAAUGAUGAAAUAAAUUUGCAGAAGCGAGUGAGCUUCGUAGCAGACGAAGGAGAAAUUCAGGUAGCUGUAGACUCCCAUUAGAAUGGACCAACAAGAUUAAAGCUUCACAUAAAGAAACAAGAAUCUUUAUAAUUUCUUAUUUUCUUUUCUCAAGUCUUUUGGUCUCCACUCUGUUUAUUAUUAUUUUCAUAUAUAAAUGAUUUGUUAGCAGAUUAUAUAUAGCUAUAUUCGCUUUGUCUCCACUGUGAGUCUUUUUGCAAAAAUCUGAAGGAAAAAUGAUCAAAUACCUCCUUAAAUUUGUGUUAAGGUGCUAAAUAGAUCCAGUUUCAUUUUUUUUCUAAUAGAUAAACCCACAACUUCUGUUGAAGGACUAAAUAACUCUAAAUUGUAAUUCAGUACAUGUGUGUAGCUCGCUUCUCAUCC
rnacentral:lncRNA from 1 species